ensembl:lncRNA
AGCAGGUACGGAGCGUGAACAUUUAAUAUUGCACAGACAAGGAACAGGACAAGAACAGCGUUAGAACCGGGUAACACAACGACAAACAACAAUUAUGUUGAAGCGGGUAACAACCUCGGGAACAGACAGAUAUAGGGGAGGAAAUGAAAGCAUGUGAUUGAGUCCAGGAAGAAGAGUCCACACAACACCACCUGUGUACUGGGUCUGCUGGUCAGUCAACUGAGAUUACGAUACACAGAUGGAGAGCGGAGCAUGGCAGAUUAUGAAGGGGAGUAGUCCAAUAAAGACAUGGACUGACUAUAACAGUUCUACAUCUUACAAUUUUCACAAGGAUUUUGAUGCAUAUAGUCAUGGCUAAUAAACUACACUGACUCCUCAAAUGCAGCUGCAAAUUGGUAUUGGACUGAAAGACAGAGGCAUAAGUCGUCAGAAACCUCAGACAGCAAAGAAACGAAGGCAGCUUCACCAGAGACAGGGCGCCAGGCUUGCCCUGCAUCACACACUCCUUCCAUCCAUUACGCACACCUGCCUUCCCUCGUCACGCACAUCAGCGAUAUUGGACUCACCUGGGCUCUCUCUUCACCUGUUAUUACCUCCCCUGCUCUGUUCCCCGCUUCUGCAUUGAUUGUUUUUUGUUUGUGUUACUCGUUUGCUGACACUGUUCCUGGCUUGUUCCAUGUCCAUUCUAUAUUAAAUGUUUUACUCCCCA